GAUGAAGAACGCAGCGAAAUGCGAUAAGUAAUGUGAAUUGCAGAAUUCCGUGAAUCAUCGAAUCUUUGAACGCACAUUGCGCCCUCUGGUAUUCCGGGGGGCAUGCCUGUCCGAGCGUCAUUUACAACCCUCAAGCCCGGCUUGUGUGAUGGGUGCCGUCCCCUACGGGACGCGCCCCGAAGGCAAUGGCGGCGUCGCGGUUAUCCGAUCAGCCAAAGUGUAUGGGGCUUUGUCACUCACUUUACGGCCCGGACCGGCGCCAGUCCGAAUCAAUCUUUUUUCUAAAGUUGACCUCGGAUCAGGUAGGGAUACCCGCUGAACUUAAGCAUAUCAAUAAGCGGAGGA
rnacentral:misc_RNA from 1 species